ACUCUGGUUUCUUUUCAGAUUGAAUAAAUCUUUUACCUUUUACUAAAGAUUUCUGUGAAAAGCAAGAACAAAAACAAAAACUGUAGGGCAAGAAUUCCUUUGGCAUUCUG
rnacentral:snRNA from 1 species